AGUGAACGCUGGCGGUAGGCCUAACACAUGCAAGUCGAACGGCAGCACAGUAAGAGCUUGCUCUUACGGGUGGCGAGUGGCGGACGGGUGAGGAAUACAUCGGAAUCUACUUUUUCGUGGGGGAUAACGUAGGGAAACUUACGCUAAUACCGCAUACGACCUACGGGUGAAAGCAGGGGAUCUUCGGACCUUGCGCGAUUGAAUGAGCCGAUGUCGGAUUAGCUAGUUGGCGGGGUAAAGGCCCACCAAGGCGACGAUCCGUAGCUGAUCUGAGAGGAUGAUCAGCCACACUGGAACUGAGACACGGUCCAGACUCCUACGGGAGGCAGCAGUGGGGAAUAUUGGACAAAGGGCGCAAGCCUGACCCAGCCAUACCGCGUGGGUGAAGAAGGCCUUCGGGUUGUAAAGCCCUUUUGUUGGGAAAGAAAAGCAGCAGGUUAAUACCCCGCUGUUCUGACGGUACCCAAAGAAUAAGCAACGGCUAACUUCGUG
rnacentral:rRNA from 1 species